rnacentral:rRNA from 1 species
GAUGAACGCUGACAGAAUGCUUAACACAUGCCAGUCAACUUGAAUUUGGGUUUUUAACUUAGGUUUGGGUGGCGGACGGGUGAGUAACGCGUAAAGAACUUGCCUCCCAGCUAGGGACAACAUUUGGAAACGAAUGCUAAUACCUAAUAUUAUGAUAAUAGGGCAUCCUAUAAUUAUGAAAGCUAUAGGCGCUGUGAGAGGGCUUUGCGUCCCAUUAGCUAGUUGGAGAGGUAACGGCUCACCAAGGCGAUGAUGGGUAGCCGGCCUGAGAGGGUGAUCGGCACCAAGGGGCCAGGGAACCGGCCCUUACUCCAACGGGAGGCAGCGGUGGGAAAUUUUCGACAAUGGACCGAGAGUCUGAUCCAGCAAUUCUGUGUGCACGAUGAGGUUUUUCGGAAUGUACAGUGCUUUCAGUUGGGGAGAAACGAGUGACGGUACCAACAGAAGAAGUGACGGCUAAAUACGUG